rnacentral:rRNA from 1 species
UAGGGAAUAUUGGGCAAUGGACGAGAGUCUGACCCAGCCAUGCCGCGUGCAGGAAGAAGGCGUUCUGCGUUGUAAACUGCUUUUAUCUGGGAAGAAAAGGCCCAUGCGUGGGACAUUGCCGGUACCAGAUGAAUAAGCACCGGCUAACUCCGUGCCAGCAGCCGCGGUAAUACGGAGGGUGCAAGCGUUGUCCGGAUUUAUUGGGUUUAAAGGGUGCGUAGGCGGCCGAUUAAGUCAGCGGUGAAAGUUUUGGGCUCAACCCAGAAAUUGCCAUUGAUACUGGUCGGCUUGAGUAUUGCAGGGGUACAUGGAAUUGAUGGUGUAGCGGUGAAAUGCAUAGAUACCAUCAGGAACACCGAUAGCGAAGGCAUUGUACUGGGCAACCACUGACGCUGAUGCACGAAAGCAUGGGGAGCGAACA